rnacentral:rRNA from 1 species
GGGGGGGGGGGGGGGGGGGGGUGGGGGAGGCGGGUCGGGCGGGGGGGCCCGGCUGUGGUGGGGGGCUCGGGUGGCGAACGGGUGGGUAACGCGUGAGUAACCUGCCCUUGACUUUGGGAUAACUUCAGGAAACUGGGGCUAAUACCGGAUAGGAGCUCCUGCUGCCUGGUGGGGGUUGGAAAGGUUCGGCGGUUGGGGAUGGACUCGCGGCUUAUCAGCUUGUUGGUGGGGUAGUGGCUUACCAAGGCUUUGACGGGUAGCCGGCCUGAGAGGGUGACCGGCCACAUUGGGACUGAGAUACGGCCCAGACUCCUACGGGAGGCAGCAGUGGGGAAUAUUGCACAAUGGGCGGAAGCCUGAUGCAGCAACGCCGCGUGCGGGAUGACGGCCUUCGGGUUGUAAACCGCUUUCGCCUGUGACGAAGCGUGAGUGACGGUAAUGGGUAAAGAAGCACCGGCUAACUACGUG